rnacentral:rRNA from 1 species
CGGAACGUGCCCAGUAGCGGGGGAUAACUACGCGAAAGCGUAGCUAAUACCGCAUACGCCCUACGGGGGAAAGCAGGGGAUCGCAAGACCUUGCACUAUUGGAGCGGCCGAUAUCGGAUUAGCUAGUUGGUGAGGUAAUGGCUCACCAAGGCGACGAUCCGUAGCUGGUUUGAGAGGACGACCAGCCACACUGGGACUGAGACACGGCCCAGACUCCUACGGGAGGCAGCAGUGGGGAAUUUUGGACAAUGGGGGAAACCCUGAUCCAGCCAUCCCGCGUGUGCGAUGAAGGCCUUCGGGUUGUAAAGCACUUUUGGCAGGAAAGAAACGGCGCGUGCUAAUACCAUGCGCAACUGACGGUACCUGCAGAAUAAGCACCGGCUAACUACGUGCCAGCAGCCGCGGUAAUACGUAGGGUGCAAGCGUUAAUCGGAAUUACUGGGCGUAAAGCGUGCGCAGGCGGUUCGGAAAGAAAGAUGUGAAAUCCCAGGGCUCAACCUUGGAACUGCAUUUUUAACUACCGGACUAGAGUGUGUCAGAGGGAGGUGGAAUUCCACGU